AUUCCGAAAGGAAUGCUAAUACCGCACACGCCCUACGGGGGAAAGCAGGGGAUCUUCGGACCUUGCGCUAAUAGAUGAGCCUAAGUCAGAUUAGCUAGUUGGUGGGGUAAAGGCCUACCAAGGCGACGAUCUGUAGCGGGUCUGAGAGGAUGAUCCGCCACACUGGGACUGAGACACGGCCCAGACUCCUACGGGAGGCAGCAGUGGGGAAUAUUGGACAAUGGGCGAAAGCCUGAUCCAGCCAUGCCGCGUGUGUGAAGAAGGCCUUUUGGUUGUAAAGCACUUUAAGCGAGGAGGAGGCUACCGAGAUUAAUACUCUUGGAUAGUGGACGUUACUCGCAGAAUAAGCACCGGCUAACUCUGUGCCAGCAGCCGCGGUAAUACAGAGGGUGCGAGCGUUAAUCGGAUUUACUGGGCGUAAAGCGUGCGUAGGCGGCUUUUUAAGUCGGAUGUGAAAUCCCUGAGCUUAACUUAGGAAUUGCAUUCGAUACUGGGAA
rnacentral:rRNA from 1 species